AGUGAACGCUGGCGGUAGGCCUAACACAUGCAAGUCGAACGGCAGCACAGUAAGAGCUUGCUCUUACGGGUGGCGAGUGGCGGACGGGUGAGGAAUACAUCGGAAUCUACUUUUUCGUGGGGGAUAACGUAGGGAAACUUACGCUAAUACCGCAUACGACCUACGGGUGAAAGCAGGGGAUCUUCGGACCUUGCGCGAUUGAAUGCGCCGAUGUCGGCUUAGCUAGUUGGCGGGGUAAAGGCCCACCAAGGCGACGAUCCGUAGCUGGUCUGAGAGGAUGAUCGGCCACACUGGAACUGAGACACGGUCCAGACUCCUACGGGAGGCAGCAGUGGGGAAUAUUGGACAAUGGGCGCAAGCCUGAUCCAGCCAUACCGCGUGGGUGAAGAAGGCCUUCGGGUUGUAAAGCCCUUUUGUUGGGAAAGAAAAGCAGCAGGUUAAUACCCCGCUGUUCUGACGGUACCCAAAGAAUAAGCACCGGCUAACUUCGUG
rnacentral:rRNA from 1 species